UAGGGAAUCUUCGGCAAUGGGCGAAAGCCUGACCGAGCAACGCCGCGUGAAUGAAGAAGGCCUUCGGGUUGUAAAAUUCUGUUAUAAGGGAAGAAAGGUGAUAGGAGGAAAUGACUAUCAAUUGACGGUACCUUAUGAGAAAGCCACGGCUAACUACGUGCCAGCAGCCGCGGUAAUACGUAGGUGGCAAGCGUUAUCCGGAAUUAUUGGGCGUAAAGAGCGCGCAGGUGGUUAAUUAAGUCUGAUGUGAAAGCCCACGGCUUAACCGUGGAGGGUCAUUGGAAACUGGUUGACUUGAGUGCAGAAGAGGGAAGUGGAAUUCCAUGUGUAGCGGUGAAAUGCGUAGAGAUAUGGAGGAACACCAGUGGCGAAGGCGGCUUCCUGGUCUGCAACUGACACU
rnacentral:rRNA from 1 species